AGGACGAACGCUGGCGGCGUGCUUAACACAUGCAAGUCGAGCGGAAAGGCCCUUCGGGGUACUCGAGCGGCGAACGGGUGAGUAACACGUGAGCAAUCUGCCUUUAGCUCUGGGAUAGCUCCGGGAAAACCGGGAUUAAUACCGGAUAAGACCACUUUAGACAUCUGUUGUGGUGGAAAGAAUUUCGGCUAGAGAUGAGCUCGCGGCCUAUCAGCUUGUUGGUGGGGUAACGCCCACCAAGGCGACGACGGGUAGCCGGCCUGAGAGGGCGACCGGCCACACUGGGACUGAGACACGGCCCAGACUCCUACGGGAGGCAGCAGUGGGGAAUAUUGCGCAAUGGGCGAAAGCCUGACGCAGCGACGCCGCGUGGGGGAUGAAGGCCUUCGGUUGUAAAGUCCUUUCGGCGGGGAAGAUGAUGACGGUACCCGCAGAAGAAGCCCGGCUAACUCGCGCCAGCAGCCGC
rnacentral:rRNA from 1 species